rnacentral:lncRNA from 1 species
UAUUACGAAUAGUUAGUGGAGUUAAUCGAGCUGAAACUGAAACGAAACGGUUAGUAACAACAUAAACAAAUAUAAAAAAAACAAUAUAAACAUUUACUUUAGACAAAAUAAACAUUUGAUAUAAAUAAACAUUUAAUUAAAAUAAACAUUUAAACAAAUAAUUAAUUUAACUAACAUUUAAAUAAAACAUAUAUGCAAAA